rnacentral:lncRNA from 1 species
AGGGCAUUAAUGGUGGAUUUGAAAUCAACAAUAGAUUAUUAUACCAUUUUGGGACUGCUCUUCUCAAUUUUUUGGAUUCACGGGUUUGGGAUGAUGAAAACGGGAGAUUCACGUAGGCUAGGGGAUAGCAGUGGUGGCAGAGACGGCCAGCUAUGGUGGUCAGAGCUUUCUGGUUUUGGUGAUGGUGGAGGAGAGAUGUGGAGAAGUGAGAGGAAAGGGAAGACUGGGUGAAGGUGGAGGAGAGAGGUGGAGAAGUGAGAGGAAAGGGCAGACUAUUUUGGGAAAGGAAGAUGGAGACUAAGUUUUUUUUGGAAAAUGGGAAGGCACGCGUG